rnacentral:ncRNA from 1 species
CUAACGUGGCUGCUAUGCCACCUGGUGAAUAGCUCGGCUCGAGAGCCGACGAAGGACGUGCCAAGCUGCGAUAAGCCUGUGGGAGCUGCAUGGAAGCGAAGAACACAGGAUGUCCGAAUGGGAAUCCCCACCGNGCCGACGAAGGACGUGCCAAGCUGCGAUAAGCCUGUGGGAGCUGCAUGGAAGCGAAGAACACAGGAUGUCCGAAUGGGAAUCCCCACCGCAAUUGCUUCGCGCAAUGGGGAACGCCGGGAAUUGAAACAUCUUAGUACCGGUCGGAAAAGAAAUCAAACGAGAUAUCGUCAGUAACCGCGAGUGAACGCGAUACAGCCCAAACUGAAGGCCUCACGGCCAAUGUGGUGUAUUGGGCCGGCNAAUCAAACGAGAUAUCGUCAGUAACCGCGAGUGAACGCGAUACAGCCCAAACUGAAGGCCUCACGGCCAAUGUGGUGUAUUGGGCCGGCACUCAUCGUCGGAACCCUUCUGUGAAGUCUCCUGGAACGGAGCGCGACACAGGGUGAAAGCCCCGUAACGGAAGCUAGUAUGACGUGAGCCGGUUCCGGAGUAGCGGGGGUUGGAAAUCCCUCGUGAAUACGGCAGGCAUCUACUGCCAAGGCUAAAUACUCCUCGAGACNGUGGCGAUGGAGCGACGGGGCAUGAAAGGCCCGUUCGAAAACGACAGAGGCGCGAGCCUCCAGUAGGACCGAACGGGAGCCGAUGUUCCGUCGUACGUUUUGAAAAACGAACCAGGGAGUGUGUCUGUUUGGCGAGUCUAACCGGUUCAUCCGGGAAGGCAUAGGGAAACCGACAUGGCCGCAGUGCUUUGCACCAGGGCCGCCGUGUUCAAGCGCGGGGAGUCAAACUGACACGACCCGAAACCGGACGAUCUACGCGUGGGCAAGACGAAGCGUGCCGAAAGGCACGUGGAGGUCUGCUAGUGUUGGUGUUUUACAACACCCUCACGUGACCUACGUGUAGGGGUGAAAGGCCCAUCGAGUUCGGCAACAGCUGGUUCCGACCGACAAAUGUCGAAGCAUUACCCCUGCCGAGGUAGUUCGUGGGGUAGAGAGACUGAUUGAGCGGACCGCCCUCGAGAGAGGUCGGCCGUUCUGUCAAACUCCGAACCUACGAACGCUGGCGACGCGGGGAGUUCGGUGCGCGGGGUAAGCCUGUGUACCGUGAGGGAGACAACCCAGAGUCGGGUUAAGGUCCCCAAGUGUGGACUAAGUGCGAUCGAAGGUGGUCUCAAGCCCUAGACAGCCGGGAGGUGAGCUUAGAAGCAGCUACCCUCCAAGAAAAGCGUAACAGCUUACCGGCCGAGGUUUGAGGCGCCCAAAAUGAUCGGGGCUCAAGUCCACCACCGAUACCUGACCAUGCUCGUUACAGAGCAAUUGUGUAGGUCGGCGUUCUGAUCGGGUGGAAGCACGGCCGAGAGUUCGUGUGGACCGAUUUGAAACGAAAAUCCUGGUCA